UUAUUGAACGCUGGCGGCAGGCCUAACACAUGCAAGUCGAACGGUAACAUUUCUAGCUUGCUAUNAGAUGACGNGUGGCGGACGGGUGAGUAAUGCUUGGGAACUUGCCUUUGCGAGGGGGAUAACAGUUGGAAACGACUGCUAAUACCGCAUAAUGUCUUCGGACCAAACGGGGCUUAGGCUCCGGCGCAAAGAGAGGCCCAAGUGAGAUUAACUAGUUGGUAAGGUAACGGCUUACCAAGGCGACGAUCUCUANCUGUUCUGAGAGGAAGAUCAGCCACACUGGGACUGAGACACGGCNCAGACUCC
rnacentral:rRNA from 1 species